rnacentral:rRNA from 1 species
CAGUCGAACGCAGUAGCAAUACUGAGUGGCAGACGGGUGAGUAACAUGUGGGAAUCUGCCUUGUGGUUCAGGACAACAUUGGGAAACCGAUGCUAAUACUGGAUAAGCCCUUACGGGGAAAGUUUUAAUGCCAUAAGAUGAGCCCGCAUUUGAUUAGUUAGUUGGUGAGGUAAUGGCUCACCAAGACAAUGAUCAAUAGCUGAUCUGAGAGGAUGAUCAGCCACACUGGGACUGAGACACGGCCCAGACUCCUACGGGAGGCAGCAGUGGGGAAUCUUGCACAAUGGAGGAAACUCUGAUGCAGCGAUGCCGCGUGAGUGAAGAAGGCCUUUGGGUUGUAAAGCUCUUUUGUAGGGGAAGAUAAUGACUGUACCCUAAGAAUAAGGUCCGGCUAACUUCGUGCCAGCAGCCGCGGUAAUACGAAGGGACCUAGCGUAGUUCGGAAUUACUGGGCGUAAAGCGCGCGUAGGCCGUUGAGUUAGUUAAUUGUGAAAUCCCAAAGCUUAACUUUGGAACUGCAAUUAAAGCUGCUCGACUAGAGUUUGAUAGAGGAAAGCGGAAUACAUAGUGUAGAGGUGAAAUUCGUAGAUAUUAUGUAGAACACCAGUUGCGAAGGCGGCUUUCUGGAUCAACACUGACGCUGAGGCGCGAAAGUAUGGGUAGCAAAGAGGAUUAGAUACCCUCGUAGUCCAUACCAUAAACGAUGAUUGCUAGAUGUUGGAAAUUUAUUUUCAGUAUCGCAGCUAACGCAUUAAGCAAUCCGCCUGGGGAGUACGACCGCAAGGUUAAAACUCAAUGAAUUGACGGG